UACGUAGGGUGCAAGCGUUGUCCGGAAUUAUUGGGCGUAAAGAGCUCGUAGGCGGUUUGUCGCGUCGGCUGUGAAAACUCGGGGCUCAACCCCGAGCCUGCAGUCGAUACGGGCAAACUUGAGUGUGGUAGGGGAGACUGGAAUUCCUGGUGUAGCGGUGAAAUGCGCAGAUAUCAGGAGGAACACCGGCGGCGAAGGCGGGUCUCUGGGCCAUAACUGACGCUGAGGAGCGAAAGCGUGGGGAGCGAACAGG
rnacentral:rRNA from 1 species